UACGAAGGGGGCUAGCGUUGUUCGGAGUUACUGGGCGUAAAGCGCGCGUAGGCGGCUUUGCAAGUCGGGUGUGAAAUCCCCAGGCUUAACCUGGGAACUGCAUUCGAGACUGCAUUGCUAGAGUAUGGGAGAGGGAAGUGGAAUUUCCGGUGUAGCGGUGAAAUGCGUAGAUAUCGGAAGGAACAUCAGUGGCGAAAGCGACUUCCUGGACCAAUACUGACGCUCAUGUGCGAAAGCGUGGGGAGCAAACAGG
rnacentral:rRNA from 1 species